rnacentral:lncRNA from 1 species
GUGCCAGCAAAGGUGGGAGAGGGAGCUGCUGCAGAAAGGAUCCCUGGCCCUUGUUGGAGCCUCAGUUUUUUUCACCUGCUGAAUGGACACAGAUCUGUCCAACUCACUAGUUGAUUUCAAGGAUGAGACGAACCUGUCCCAUAGCCAAGAAAACUGAGGCCAAAGAUGUCUGAAGUCAGAGCCAUUUAUCUUCCAUCCCCCGCAGGGGUGUCCACUGUGCCUGCCCCGGUCAUAAUGGCUUUCUGCUAAGGAUGUCACCACACCUUCUUGAUGGAGACUUGCCACCUGCCCUGGGCAACCAGCCCUUCUGAAAGCGAGCUCGAUUCCAAACUCAGGGUUAAUGAUAAAACUGAACAACGUAAGGCC